UUAUUAUUAAAAUAAUUUAAGAUGUAAUUUAAAUGUUUUCAUUAGUAUCCAAUUAUUUUCAAUAUUUCCAAUAUUUCAUACAACGAGCUCGGAAAAAUCAUGGAAAAUGUACACGCGAGAGAAUCGAAGAAGAAAUAUUGUUAAACAGGGAUUACAGAGAAGAUUAAGUCGCGUGUCCAGGACGACAGGACCAAUCAUUGACAGAAAUCAAUUAUCGUCUCUCGAAAUGACCGUGUCCUGGUAAUUAACCAGACAGAACCUUUCCCCUAGACUGACACUGAUUGGUCACUGGCGAUAAUGAACUUAUUUAGGAAUAACCGAGUCGUCACGCUAUCUAGCUUUCUCUCUCCUUCUCUCUUGGAACGAUUUCCGUUAAUACGCGAAUCACGUAUUAUUGGACUAUAUCGAGUUCGAUGAAAUUUGACAGACAAUUUCGAAAUGGAAUUACGAAGAGAUACGUAUUCGUAUUAAUCGAGAGAAAGCGAUUCACGGAGCAAAGACGCGAACACGAGAGAGAAAGAAAUAUAAAGUUGUCAAGCAAAGUCGAUGGGUCCACGGUAAUAGCAAUAACCGAAUGAGAGAAAUAAUCGAGAGUACAAAAUGGUGGUCAGAUAAGACAGAGAGGAAAAGAGGGUGGCCGCGUGGCGAUGGGACAUAUAAACACGCUCGCACACUUAUCUGGCAGUAAAGAUGUUUACAGCGCGGUCUGCGCCGCCACUAUCACUAUCACCCCAAAAGAACGGACCACUCUAAUUGAUUUGUGGCUCGGUUGCUAUCGGUGCUCGUAACUUAAAUUAAAUUACAUGGCCAGUUCAUCCGUGGCGAAUGCACACUUCUGUGAACAGGAUGCGGCAGGUCUUCCGUAAGAAACGAAAAAA